UGUAGAACUUGCAAGAUGAGAUGAUGGAUCUGAUGGACAUAAGUAAUGAGAUUCAAGAGUCACUAGGCAGAAGCUACAAUGUUCCUGAUGACAUUGAUGAAGAGGAACUCCUGGGAGAGCUUGAUGCUUUGGAAGUGGACAUGGGAACAGAGAUGGAUGCUGAUGGGGUGCCCUCUUAUCUCCAACCUGACAAGGACCAUGAUGUGGAAGCUGAACUCAACUUGCCUUCUGCCCCAAUAGGACAUGUAACAAUCACUGCGGGCAGAUCAAACGUCCAGGCUGAGGAUGAACUUGGUUUACCUGCUGUGCCUCAUGCAUCUAUUCGCAACUAGCAUAGGAGCUGCUGGGCAGAAAGAAAUUGCGCAGAAUUUAAUUUGAUUUAUGUUAUUCAACUGAUAUCAUGCGGAGUAUGGGGUUGGCUAUUUGAUAAAUAAAAACUGAUGCAGGCCUAAUUUGGCUACAGACACAAGAAGGGGCAUGUGUACAGGCAACUGCACAAAUUUGAUUGUGCUAACAAAUCUGCACAGUUGUUUCCUUCUUGAAGCCUGGUGUUCGGUCAAAUUCGUUUUGGAUUGAAGAUACUAUGUAAGUGAUAAUGAGUUUGAACUCUUAUUUAACCAAACUUCUGUUUCUAUAGGGGAGAAUUUUGGACAUC